UCCUGGCCGUAAACGAUGGGUACUAGGUGUAGGAGGUAUCGACCCCUUCUGUGCCGGAGUUAACGCAAUAAGUACCCCGCCUGGGGAGUACGACCGCAAGGUUGAAACUCAAAGGAAUUGACGGGGGCCCGCACAAGCGGUGGAGUAUGUGGUUUAAUUCGACGCAACGCGAAGAACCUUACCAGGUCUUGACAUUGAUGGACAGAACCAGAGAUGGUUCCUCUUCUUCGGAAG
rnacentral:rRNA from 1 species